GACGAACGCUGGCGGCGUGCUUAACACAUGCAAGUCGAACGGUAAGGCCCUUCGGGGUACACGAGUGGCGAACGGGUGAGUAACACGUGGGUGAUCUGCCCUGCACUUCGGGAUAAGCCUGGGAAACUGGGUCUAAUACCGGAUAGGACUCCGGACUGCAUGGUCUGGGGUGGAAAGCUUUUGCGGUGUGGGAUGGGCGCGCGGCCUAGCAGCUUGUUGGUGGGGUGAUGGCCUACCAAGGCGACGACGGGUAGCCGGCCUGAGAGGGUGACCGGCCACACUGGGACUGAGUUACGGCCCAGACUCCUACGGGAGGCAGCAGUGGGGAAUAUUGCACAAUGGGCGCAAGCCUGAUGCAGCGACGCCGCGUGAGGGAUGACGGCCUUCGGGUUGUACACCUCUUUCAGCAUCGACGAAGCGAAAGUGACGGUAGGUGCAGAAGAAGGACCGGCCAACUACGUGCCAGCCGCCGCAGUAA
rnacentral:rRNA from 1 species